ACUUACAUGGUUCAGUGGUAGAAUGCUCGCCUGCUAAGCGGGAGCCCUGGGUUCGAUUCCCGGCCGAUGUAUAUA
rnacentral:tRNA from 1 species